CCCUUAGAUGUUCUGGGCCGCACGCGUGCCACACUGAACGGUUCAAUGGGUAAGGUAGUGCGAAAGCAUGACCUAAUCUCGAAAUCCGUUCGUGCUGGGGAUAGAAGCUUGCAAUUAUCCUUCUUGAACGAGGAAUACCUUGUAAGCGUGAGUCAUCAUCUCACGCUGAAUACGUCCCUGCCCUUUGUACACACCGCCCGUCGCUCCUACCGAUUGAGUGUUCCGGUGAGGCUUUGGGAGAAUGGCCUCAACAUGAGUUUAUCGUGUUUUGCCGUUUGAACUUAGUCAAACCUUAUCACUUAGAGGAAGGAGAAGUCGUAACA
rnacentral:rRNA from 1 species